GCAUCCUUCUCUGUUCAGCAGCGCAGCCGAGCCGCAAUCGCGACCGAGCCGUCGCCGAGUUUCCAGCCGCGCCGGGAGAUCGUCCAAGCCGAUCUGCGCAGCCGAGCGCCCGUCGGACGCCGAAGCCGAGUCGAAGCCGCCUCCGUGCGUCCGCAGCCAACCCGUCAGCCAGCCGAGGCGCGCCGCUCCGAUCCGACGCAAGCGCAGCCGAAACGCCAGUCGUAGCCGUCGCCGAGCGAAGCCGCGGUAGCCGGACCACCAGCAGCCGCCGCGCCACCCGAGAUCCGGAAGCCGAAGCCUCGCGCGCAAAGGUCCGACCGAAGACCCGCCCCGCGACCCGAACCGACGCGCGCCACCCUCCGGAAACCCGACCCGCGCCCGCGUGCACCCGUGCGUGAGCCGCGCCCGCGUGUGAAGCCGCGCCCGCGUGUGAAGCCGCGCCGCGCGCUUUUGUGUAGCCGAGCCGCGUCUCCCUGUUGCAAGCCGAGCCGCGUCUCCCCCUGUUGCAAGCCGAGCCGCACGCGAAAUCCCUGUACCGAGCCGAGCCGCGUCUGCCCAAGCCGAGCCGGUCCUGUCUUCUUCCAGCCGAGCCGCCAGGACUAAAUUGGCUCCAUCCACCUAUAUUUUGGGACGUCUUGGACCAAGAAAUUACUGCAGCGCGGGAUUUCCUUCAGUAGGGGCUCGAGCACUGCAACCUCCUUCUAGGGUAAGUUAAAUUCAAUUGAGUCUCGAACCGUUGGUCGUUGGCGACCUAUUUACGAAUUUUGACUUAUUAAACAGUUAGGACUUCGUCGCUUGGAAAACGUACUGCCUCGCGGUUAGGACUCGACAAGUAGAUCUCCAGGUAAGAGAUUCUACUACUAGUUUCAUGUUUGAAGUAUGAGACUGUGUAUGCCCUAUGUUGCAUAUUGAGGAUUUGACAGUAUGAUGCCUGAAAUAAAUGCUAGUAUGAUGCAAAUGACGAUAUAGUUGUGCUAUAGCCUGUUAUGUGUGGCAAGAUCUAUUAUGGUUACGACGAAUGACGGGACGGAGAGUGUAGAAAUGAUUUAUGUGACAUGUUAUAUGCUGAUGCCAUGUGUAUGUUUACUGCAAUUAGGGUACCUGUUAGCUUGAUUUCUGUUAGAGUCGUACCUGCAUGGGUGUCCUUCGGGAUCACCACCUAUUGAGGACUGUGUGGUCCGACGGGACGCCAGUCUAGCAUGAUAUAGACAUGACUCGAGUGACUCGACGGGGUCCUCGCAUCCCGACUGUCCUAGGUGUCCCCGGGCACCGAAGACCAGAGUUACGUUCCUACGGGAGCGCAUGAUUGCACGUGUUCGGGAACGUGCCAGAGAUUGGGUACCAGUUAUCAGGACUCUAACAGGAAGUUAACAGGCACCUAGUGGGACUAGUAGUGGGUCCCUUACUGAGUAUUUUUAUACUCAUUCUCUCCAUUUUAUGUUUUCAGGUAGAGGACGGGGCAAGGGCAAGGGCAAGCUGGCGAGCGACCCGAAGUGAGACCGAGGAGGGCCAUAGGGACUACCGCUUCCGCUUAUUUCUUAUUUCAGAUUUUAGCAUUUGAGUUUGAGUACUUUUUAUUUUUCACUAUCUUUUAUGUAGAUAGGGCCCGAGUAGGAUUUCAGAACGUUUUUACAUUUUUGCAUGACUACCUUGUUUAUGUUUUUAUAAAUGAAUUUCUUGAACCGUAUGCUUUUAAUAAAAUUUUUAGACUUAAACCA